GAUGAACGCUAGCUACAGGCUUAACACAUGCAAGUCGCGGGGCAGCAUGGGGGUUGCUUGCAAUCCCCGAUGGCGACCGGCGCACGGGUGAGUAACGCGUAUCCAACCUGCCCUUCACCACGGGAUAACCCGGCGAAAGUCGGACUAAUACCGUAUGUUGUCCAUUGACGGCAUCCGAUUUGGACGAAAGGUUUGGCGGUGAAGGAUGGGGAUGCGUCCGAUUAGCUGGACGGCGGGGUGACGGCCCACCGUGGCGACGAUCGGUAGGGGUUCUGAGAGGAAGGUCCCCCACACUGGAACUGAGACACGGUCCAGACUCCUACGGGAGGCAGCAGUGAGGAAUAUUGGUCAAUGGGCGUAAGCCUGAACCAGCCAAGUAGCGUGCAGGAUGACGGCCCUAUGGGUUGUAAACUGCUUUUAUGCGGGGAUAAAGUGGCCCACGUGUGGGUUUUUGCAGGUACCGCAUGAAUGAGAACCGGCUAAUUCCGUG
rnacentral:rRNA from 1 species